GACGAACGCUGGCGGCGUGCCUAAUACAUGCAAGUCGAACGCAGUGGGGACGGGUGAGUAACACGUGGGUAACCUCCCAUCAGAGGGGAUAACACUUGGAAACAGGUGCUAAACCGAUACUGAUGGAUGGACCCGCGGUGCAUUAGCUAGGUGGUGAGGUAACGGCUCACUAAGGCCACGAUGCAUCGCCGACCGGAGAGGGUGAUCGGCCACACGGGGACGGAGACACGGCCGAUAGUACUACGGGCGGCAGCAGUAGGGAAUCUUCGGCAAUGGACGAAAGUCUGACCGAGCAACGCCGCGUGAGUGAAGAAGUUUUGCGGAUCGUAAAACUCUGUUGUGAGAGAAGCGGUAUCUAACCAGAAAGCCACGGCUAACUACGUGCGAGCAGCCGCGGUAAUUC
rnacentral:rRNA from 1 species